UGGCCUACGGGAGGCUGCAGUAGGGAAUAUUGCGCAAUGGAGGAAACUCUGACGCAGCGACGCCGCUUGGGUGACGAAGGUUUUCGGAUCGUAAAGCCCUGUCGGAAGGAAAGAAAAACGGUUUGGCUAACAUCCAAGCCGCUUGACGGUACCUUCAGAGGAAGCACCGGCUAACUACGUGCCAGCAGCCGCGGUAAUACGUAGGGUGCUAGCGUUGUUCGGAAGCAUUGGGCGUAAAGCGCGUGUUGGUGGUUAGUUAAGUCGAUUGUAAAAUCCCUGGGCUCAACCGAGGAAGUGCAGUCGAAACUGACUAGCUAGAGGAUGGCAGAGGAAGGUGGAAUUCCAAGUGUAGAGGUGAAAUUCGUAGAUAUUUGGAGGAAUACCGGUGGCGAAGGCGGCCUUCUGGACCAGUCCUGACACUGAGACGCGAAAGCGUGGGGAGCAAACAGGAUUAGAUACCCGGGUAGUCA
rnacentral:rRNA from 1 species